ensembl:rRNA 5S_rRNA 5S ribosomal RNA
CCCUACGGUCAUGCCGCCCUGCAUAUGCCCAGUCUCAUCUGAUCCCAGAAGCCAAGCGGGGCAGGCCUGAGUGGCACUUGGAAGGCAUAGAGGUAUAGAACAGGGC